GUGGGGAAUAUUGGACAAUGGGCGAAAGCCUGAUCCAGCCAUGCCGCGUGUGUGAAGAAGGUCUUCGGAUUGUAAAGCACUUUAAGUUGGGAGGAAGGGCAGUAAGUUAAUACCUUGCUGUUUUGACGUUACCGACAGAAUAAGCACCGGCUAACUUCGUGCCAGCAGCCGCGGUAAUACGAAGGGUGCAAGCGUUAAUCGGAAUUACUGGGCGUAAAGCGCGCGUAGGUGGUUUUGUAAGUUGGAGGUGAAAUCCCCGGGCUCAACCUGGGAACUGCCUCCAAAACUGCAUGACUAGAGUACGGUAGAGGGUAGUGGAAUUUCCUGUGUAGCGGUGAAAUGCGUAGAUAUAGGAAGGAACACCAGUGGCGAAGGCGACUACCUGGACUGAUACUGACACUGAGGUGCGAAAGCGUGGGGAUCGAACAGGAUUAGAAACCCCGGUAGUCC
rnacentral:rRNA from 1 species